UACGGGGGGUGCGAGCGUUGUCCGGAAUCACUGGGCGUAAAGGGCGCGUAGGUGGCUUUGUAAGUUUGCGGUGAAAGCCCGGGGCUCAACCCCGGGUCUGCCGUGGAUACUGCAAGGCUUGAGUACUGUAGAGGCAGGUAGAAUAUCGGGUGUAGCGGUGGAAUGCGUAGAGAUCCGAUAGAAGACCGGUGGCGAAGGCGGAUCUCUGGGCCAUUACUGACGCUGAGGAGCGAAAGCGUGGGGAGCGAACAGG
rnacentral:rRNA from 1 species